UGAGGAACAUGACCUUCGGCGGGGGAUAGCCGGCCCAACGGCCGGGUAAUACCGCGUACGACCACUUUGGGACAUCCCUAGGUGGUGAAAGCAGCAAUGCGCCGAUGGAGUGCCUCGCGGCCUAUCAGCUAGUUGGUGAGGUAACGGCUCACCAAGGCGACGACGGGUAGCUGGUCUGAGAGGAUGGCCAGCCACAUUGGGACUGAGAUACGGCCCAGACUCCUACGGGAGCAG
rnacentral:rRNA from 1 species